AUCAGCCCUAAAUUCCAGAAAUCUGGGAUUUAAUCCCAUAUAGAGAUUCGAUUUUCCAAUAUCAACCCUAAAGGAUCGCCUUUCUUCUUCAGUAUCUCUCUCUCUCUCUCUCUCUCUCUCUCUCUCUCUCUCAUUUGACGAUUUCUUUAGCCACCAAGUCUUAACCAUCUAUGUUGUGUAAUUCCACCGCUUAUGUGCGAAAAGGAAGUUCAAACUGGCGAGAUCGAUUCUGAUGGUUUCCGAUCCACACUUUGUUGAUCGUAGUUGUUUCUGAUAGCACGUUGUCCGUUUGGUUUAGAAAUCCAUGGAGGGAUCAUGGUUUCUCCAUUAUGUGUGUUGUGUGUUGUAGACGGAUGUCCGGGGCAACUAAGUUGACGGUUACCUCUUCCAAGCUGCUUGCCACCUUCUCAUAAUCAAAGCUUCUCAGGAAAUUUAAGUUUGAUUUGAUCUGUUCUCAUGUUACCGCCAUGUUUAUGCUCUGAUUCAAGCAAGCCUACUUCAGUUUUCUUGUUUACAUGGUAACACUUGCUAAUAUUUCCAUAUGAUUAUAUAUGGUGAGGUUUUUUAAUUUCAGGCAUUGAGUUCUCUUUUCAUUUGGAAAGAAAAGAAUUUGUAUCUAGCUUCCAUCUGUUGCUGUUAUUUUCAGAAAAAAUAAGACGUCAAUAAAGGAGUGUCAAAAAUUUAGAUAUUAUCUUUUAUAAAAGAAAUUUAGAUGUAUUUUAGCUCUGGUCAGCCUUCUUUGAGGUAUAUCUUAUAAAAUAUUGGUAACAUUAUACAUCCCCUGAUUCAGGAGAAAUUCAAAAUGACCUAAAUGUAUAUUCCUCUUUUAUCCUUUGAUAAUUUUACUUUUCUUUUGCUAGAUACUCAAAAAACUUUCAGUCCAUUACUUUUUAUCUAUUUGAUUUAUUCGUAUGCUAAGACCAACAAAAUAGCAUCUUCAUCCAACUAAGGGAUAAGAGUGGGCAAAAGGAAUUAAUUUAGGCUGGGUAAAAGCAACAUGAUUUUUA